rnacentral:lncRNA from 1 species
UGCAUGAGCUUCCUGUUGCUUCUGUGCCCAUUUCUGUGCUCUUCGUCUCUCUCUCUCUUUCUCUCUCUUAUAAAUGAUGUACAGUAGCUGUGUAAGAAGUGCAUGUGUGCCAACUUUGCCCUUGUGGUGCAACAUUUCAGCUUUUGCCCACUGUACGGUUAUUGGUUUCGUUUCUUUUAGUUACUAAAGCAAAUUUGACCCUACUCUUUUUCCUCAUCCCAAGUCCAAUCCAACACCCUGCGUUUGCUCACCACAAUACGUUUUAAACAGAAGUGCCAGGCAAAAUUCUGUUAGUUCCUGUCGGCUUGACUAGCUAGCUGCCUAGCCCUCCGUGUUUAGUUUGCAAUGCUGUAAAUGGCAUGCUCUGUGCUUAUGACUCUGGAUUUGCUUUUCUCACCAAAGUCAGAUUUGUAAAUUCUUUGCAGUUUUUGUUUUGUUUUGCUCUCUUUGUUAACGUUUCCCACUACUGCUGUACAUGUGUCAUGAUAUAUAUAUGCUAGUCAGCAGCACCUUGCUGUAGAUAUUAAAGGAAAUGGCGGUUUAGUUCUUUUGUUUUCCAGUAGGAGUAUUGAAUCUGUCAAACAUAUUAUGUAGAGAUGGUCCCACACUUAUAUUUUUCCUGUUUCAAGUUUUUUUAAGAAAGGCGCUGUUCAUUAUGCAAAAUCAAUUAUUUUAAGAAUUGCUAUUGUAAAUAUCUUUGUGAAUAUUUUAGUAUCGUCUUUGAUAAUAUUCAGCAUUUUCAUGAUCUGGUUAUACUUUUGCUGGUGUUUUUAAAUACCUUGUCUGAAGAAAAAUAUGGGUCCUUUUUUAAAAAAGAAAAUUGAGGGUUCUUUAACAGAAUAAGGGAGUUGGGUUUUUUUCUUUUUUUCCCCUCCUGUUUUCUUUUGAUAAAUUAGCCCAAAUUUCAUGUCCAUUUAUGUGUUGAAUGAACUGAUACAUCAGGCAGUACCUGGACAAUCAGGGCCCAGCUCUGUCGAGGAAACAUAAUAAUAAGUGAUUGCCUAGGGCAAAAAAACCCCAAACAACUAACUGACCGAUGUUCACUGGCUGUGGGUGGUUGAGGGCUGGUAAUGGCAGAGACGUUGUUCGUUUGCCCAAGUGAGCAGAACACCUAGGACCAGCUGUCUGAACAGGUAAAGAUGCACUAAGGCAAGCAGCAAAUAUGUGAGGUACCGUAUUUAUCUCGCUCCGGUCUCUGGAACCAGGGCACAGUAACACUUUGGGAUGUUGGUGGGUGGGGAAGGGAAACAGUAUAGUAUAUUUUAUUCUGCUUAGAAGUGUCUUUUUUCUUAUGUAGGCUUGACAACCUGUAGAGGAUCUCUGCAGAGUAUUAAAGAUACCUUGAACGUGAGACAAAACACAAUUUUUACCCAUCACCCAAAUGUUGGACAUUUGAGACAGUUUUAAAACUUAUCUGUCAGCUAAAAUCAGGUACUGUAUAGCGGAGUCAGUAUGAAAAGGCUUCUAAAUGAAAAUUUAGUUAUUUUUUUAUCUGUUCACUGCCAUAUUAAAGUUUAGAGAAAAAAAGCCUAGCAA